rnacentral:rRNA from 1 species
UUAAAGACCUAGUAAUAGGUAUGCUUUAGGAGGGGCUUGCGCCAUAUUAGUUAGUUGGUAGGGUAAUGGCCUACCAAGACGAUGAUGUGUAGCUGGACUGAGAGGUUGAACAGCCACAUUGGGACUGAGACACGGCCCAAACUCCUACGGGAGGCAGCAGUAGGGAAUUUUCGGCAAUGGAGGAAACUCUGACCGAGCAACGCCGCGUGAAUGACGAAGUACUUCGGUAUGUAAAGUUCUUUUAUCAAGGAAGAAAAGCAAAUGGCGAACCAUUUGUUUGCCGGUACUUGAUGAAUAAGCCCCGGCUAAUUAUGUGCCAGCAGCCGCGGUAAGACAUAAGGGGCAAGUGUUAUCCGGAAUUAUUGGGCGUAAAGGGUGCGUAGGCGGUCUAGUAAGUCAGUGGUGUAAUGGCAACGCUUAACGUUGUCCGGCUAUUGAAACUGCUAAACUUGAGUUAGAUAGAGGCGAGUGGAAUUCCAUGUGUAGCGGUAAAAUGCGUAAAUAUAUGGAGGAACACCAGAGGCGUAGGCGGCUCGCUGGGUCUUAACUGACGCUGAGGCACGAAAGCGUGGGGAGCAAACAGGAUUAGAUACCCUGGUAGUCCACGCCGUAAACGAUGAGUACUAAGUGUCGGGUUAAACCGGUACUGAAGUUAACACAUUAAGUACUCCGCCUGAGUAGUACGUACGCAAGUAUGAAACUUAAAGGAAUUGACGGGACUCCGCACAAGCGGUGGAUCAUGUUGUUUAAUUCGAAGAUACCCGAAAAACCUUACCAGGUCUUGACAUGUUUUUGCAAAAUUAUAGUAAUAUCAUGGAGGUUACCAGAAACACAGGUGGUGCAUGGUUGUCGUCAGCUCGUGUCGUGAGAUGUUAGGUUAAGUCCUAAAACGAGCGCAACCCUUAUCGUUAGUUGCCAGCACGUUAUGGUGGGGACUUUAACGAGACUGCCAAUGAAAAAUUGGAGGAAGGUGAGGAUCACGUCAAAUCAGCAUGCCCCUUAUGAUCUGGGCUACAAACGUGAUACAAUGGCUGUUACAAAGGGUAGCUGAAACGCAAGUUCUUGGCCAAUCCCCAAAAACAGUCCCAGUCCGGAUUGAAGUCUGCAACUCGACUUCAUGAAGUUGGAAUCGCUAGUAAUCGCGAAUCA